rnacentral:pre_miRNA from 1 species
GUGCUACUCCCUCCGUCCGAAAAUACUUGUCAUCAAAAAGAAUAAAAAGGGAUGUAUCUAGAUGUAUUUUAGUUCUAGAUACAUCUCUUUUCAUCCAUUUUGAUAAGUAUUUUCGGACGGAGGGAGUAUAUG